UACGUAGGGGGCGAGCGUUGUCCGAAGUUACUGGGCGUAAAGCGUGCGCAGGCGGUUGUGCAAGACAGAUGUGAAAUCCCCGGGCUCAACCUGGGAAUUGCAUUUGUGACUGCACGGCUAGAGUGUGUCAGAGGGGGUAGAAUUCCACGUGUAGCAGUGAAAUGCGUAGAGAUGUGGAGGAAUACCGAUGGCGAAGGCAGCCCCCUGGGAUAACACUGACGCUCA
rnacentral:rRNA from 1 species